GGUCCGCCCUGUCUUCCAGCAGGGCGGGGCCCGGCUCCGGUUGUUCCGCCACGUUUGAGCGGGCGAGCCCGGCGGCCGGGAGACGCCAGGGAACGGGGCUGGUGGGGGUACAAAGGCUCGGUUCCGUCGCCUUCAGCCCUGCGGUGGGGGCACGGGGCAAGUGAGGGGACGGCAGAGGCGGCGUUCGGUGUGAGGCUGCGCCCUGGGCUCCUGAAAAUCCAGGGCUGCAGUCAUUUGAAGGCUUGACUGGGGCUGGAGGAUUUUCAUCCAAGAUGGCUCACUCACCCAGCUGUUGGCAGGAGACCUCGGUUCUUUGACUUCUCCGUAAGACUGUACGGAGUCUCACUCUGUUGCCAGGCUGGAGUGCAGUGGCACGAUCUCGGCUCACCACAACCUCUGCCACCUGGGUUCAAGCGAUUCUCCUGCCUCAGCCUCCUGAGUAGCUGGGAUUACAGCCUGAGUCGAAGCUGUUAAAGAGGCCAAGAAUUCCCAAGCUUUCCCAGGCAAACGGGGAAGAACACUGGGAUGCCUUUUCCUCCUCCUCUGUCCAUCUGCAGGCCAAGUGUGCAUCAGUCACAGGCAAACUCUGAAUUGAGCUUUGUGCAAGUCUCUGGAAAGAGACCCAAGAUCGUGUGAUGAGCAAAAGUGACAGUGCUGGAGGCAGCGACAUCUGCAGAGCCAGCCCCAUCCCUAUCUGCAGCAGAAUAUGUAUGGGGAUCCUUUAUGUGAACAAUCCACCCAGGGUAGAAUGGGGCUUUUGACAUCAGCUGAGACCCAGGCGGCCUUACAAUGAGAGGGCUGUUGGUCAAAGGAAGGACUGUUUAAUGAACUGAGAAUCUGAGGCCAGCUCUGGCCAUCUGCACUUGGAAUCAUUAGAGCAACUCUACUGUAACUGGCAACCUUGAAUAAUGCAGCAAAUUCAUAUUCCAAAAUUGUGAACUUUAAAAUUUUGUGUUUGUGUCUAUGAUGAAAAGCAUUAUAUAAACAUUUGAUACUACAAUUUUAUUAGUAAGGAAGGCUGAAAAA
rnacentral:lncRNA from 1 species